rnacentral:lncRNA from 1 species
CCGCCGGGAAUUAAUGUUUUUUUUUUUUUGUUCGCUGGGUGGUUCGUUCAGUUGGUGUUUCCGGGAGUUGAGUUGGAAUUGAAUGGAAGUAGAACGUCAUCAGUGGAUCCUCCUUAGUAACAGUCAGCUGGGCGCUGCGUCGCUCCGGUCAUGUCCGCUGUGAAAGUUUGCAGCUUUACUGCUGGAAGGCACGUAUUCUGUCAUCUCUAGUGGUGAGUUUGUAGUAAUUAUUGGUUAAAGGCCCAUGUGUGAAAGAGAUUGGCCGUGUAUUUACCACAGUAUUUUGCGUAUGAUAUUUUGAGUGAUGUUGUGUUUUACAUAAAUUGCGUAUUUGUUGGCGUUCUCGUUCCUGAAUAUUAAAGUGAUGAUGGUGCUGCGCCGCCAUGUUUGGUUCAUUCCUCGGUUCGAGUGGCGCAGAGGCGCAUGCUGUUCGCUGUGGUUUUCGGUGGCCUAGAUUUCGCUGUGAAGUUGGAGCAGCUUAGUCUGAGUUUGACUGAUUUGGUGUCAAAUAAGGCCUAACCAUUGCGGUCGCUAAUUUGGAGCGGCUGGACGUGCGCUUGAUCUUGUUGGGCGCCGUUAUAGUCUCCCACCUUUGGGGUGGUCAAGUUUGUGGGGUCGACGCAGCCAACGGUCGUAACGGGAUUUACCAUGGAGAUGUGGCCACUUGGGGUCACAAAUCUGGAAUAAAGCUACCCAGUGAACGACAGCUGCGUCUUAUUGAUCCCGCUGGGGAGGCGAUUGGAGGUGGCGGCUACAGUUACGACCGACUCAUCAUCCAGGAGGUCCUGGAUUGGUCUCCACCUUCUAGUCUGCCUCGUCUGGACAACAACCAUCCUGCAUUGGAGCGGUGAGAUCGCUCCGAGUGGUGGUUAAACAUUGAGUCAAUCAUGUGCUGUUGCAGUGGAGAUCCCCGUCAGUGACGAGAUCCCCAUCAGUGACGAGAUCCCAAUCAGUGACGGGAUCCCCUCAGUAAUAUCAGUGCUCUGCCUAUGGUCUGUUGAGGCACCAGCUUACAUGCAGUGUGGCUCAUCCGUGGUAGCUUGAGUUACAAGGUGUUCAGUUCAAGUGGGACAUAUUGGGUUAGUUGGUGCUUGACCAGUUGCAGAGCUAGUGACUGAGCUCGGACAGUUGUGGCGGCUGACCUGAGUCGCGGCAGUGGUGUUGGGGAGUUAAGGUGGGCUGUGGAAGUUUCUUUAGUGAGGUUGGCUCCGUCGUGGGGUUGGAAGGGGACCUUUUUCAGUUGGGAAAACAGGGUCAGUGUUCCUAUUGUAUAAUGUUUGUGUAUGUUGUGUAAUAACUGUUGUCACUGUCAUUCUUUGCUCAAGCUUGGGCAUUAGACUGUACUUGAAUGAUCUUCACUCUUAUGUUACUAUUUCUUGAGCUGAUAAGUUUGUUCAUUUAAAUGAAUGUUAUUCGAAGCGUG